rnacentral:lncRNA from 1 species
GCUUGGAUUCUGAGGUGAAACGUGGGCAGGAGAGGUUGAUAUUACCCUCGGCCCAUCCGGAUAGGCUGGGAGGUUGCGUGAUCUCUCUGUAGAAUCUACAGUGCUCUGAACUCAUGAAUCACCACAGGCUUUGCAAAUGCCAAUCAACUGUCUUAACACUCUCCGGAGAGAAGCCAAGAUUCCCUGCCAGCUUCAAGAUAAUGGGAAUCACAGGAGGCAGAGAGAAGAACCUGAAGCCGCCCAAAACCUCAUCCUCCCAAAGAAGACUCAAUCAACGAAGCAAGAGAAAUCAUUCAGAGAAGGUGCAGGAACGUGCUCCGAGGCUCCAGCCUACCACGUGCAGUAAGAGGGGUGAGUUGGACUGAUCUCACCGUUGGUCCAGUCUGGCCUUGUGGCAAACCGAGUGAACGUAACUGAAUUGGCCCAACCAUAAACGCCCCAAACAAUCAAUGGUACCUAUAAUAAUAAUGGAGAUAUUUGUGCAGUGUUUCCUUUGUGCCAACCACCGUACUAAGAGAUGGGGGAGAUACAUGACUAUCAGGUUCCCCCAUGGGGCUCACAGUCUAAGUAGCAGGGAGAAUAAGGAUUGAACCUCCAUUUUGUAGAUGAGGGAACUGAGGCCCAGAGAUGUGAAGUGACUUGCCCAAGGUCACAGAGCACCCUGCCUGCCCUCACAAGCUCUCGAGCUGCUGCUAGUUUCCCAAGACCUCUACGAGGCCUUUCCA